rnacentral:lncRNA from 1 species
CAGAUUGACAUCAUGUGAGAAAAAGAGAAGGAGAAAAAUAUACCUAAAAAAUUAAAGUAUGGAACAGUGUGUCAUAGGAGGAGGAAGCAGAGAUAGUGUAUACCGUUGUCAGAAAAAAGGCGAGUACACAAAUGACCCUGACAGAGGAGACUUCGCUGUCAAAACAGUAUUUCCCUAAACCAGUACAGGCAGUAUUCUGUAACAGCAGUCAUUGAAAAGAGCAAGAAGAGAACCCGAUAGUAAGAUUUCUCAUCAGAUAGAAAUGGCUUGGAAAUGGUUUCUGAUGUGAGUCAGCAAAGGAACUCACCUGCCUCAAGUGCUGGAGUCACAGUGAGCUUGAGCUGGGAGAGCCUCACAGGACAUUCAGGUACAGACAUCACAGUGUGGUUGCCUAAAACGUUCUAAGAGGAA